CGUACACUCCUGCGGGAGGCAGCAGUGGGGAAUAUUGGACAAUGGGCGCAAGCCUGAUCCAGCCAUGCCGCGUGAGUGAUGAAGGCCCUAGGGUUGUGAAGCUCUUUCACCGGAGAAGAUAAUGACGGUAUCCGGAGAAGAAGCCCCGGCUAACUUCGUGCCAGCAGCCGCGGUAAUACGAAGGGGGCUAGCGUUGUUCGGAAUUACUGGGCGUAAAGCGCACGUAGGCGGAUCGAUCAGUCAGGGGUGAAAUCCCAGGGCUCAACCCUGGAACUGCCUUUGAUACUGUCGAUCUGGAGUAUGGAAGAGGUGAGUGGAAUUCCGAGUGUAGAGGUGAAAUUCGUAGAUAUUCGGAGGAACACCAGUGGCGAAGGCGGCUCACUGGUCCAUUACUGACGCUGAGGUGCGAAAGCGUGGGGAGCAAACAGGAUUAGAAACCCGGGUAGUCCCAU
rnacentral:rRNA from 1 species